UUAUUAUCGCAGUUGAUAAACCUGGCUACAUUGAUAAGCUUAUGAUUACAUUACACCAUAUUCUUCUAAUUAUGUUAUUUUGCAAUAAUGCGUUCAUUAUUUUACACAUUAAUUUUUGUUAGUUGGAUAUUAGCCUUGUUCGGUUGAUGUUUUCAUACUUUAAAUGUAUGGUAGAGGAGGCGGGGUGUUCAAAAAAUAGUUUUGUGGUGAAGCUUUGCUGCGAAGUAUGAAGUAUGUUCUCCCUGAUCAUUGGAUCUAAAAUCCAAAUCGAUUGUUCGUAAUUUGAAAAGUUUACCGUCGAAAAGAAUGAAUUUAUUCGUAAAAACAGCAUUUGUUUGGUAUCUGACUGUGUUUGACCCUUUCAUAAAAUAUGAAGAGUCACUCAAGUCACUGAUAUGGUCACCAUCUUCAUGCAAAGAAAUUCGUGUGAAAGACAUUAAAGGAGAAAAAUAUCGCGAAAUAAAACAACAAGAUGAAGACUUUGAAAAGUACGCGCAUGUGUAUAAUGAUAGGAAUGGUACCAUUACCGUAUCCGUAUUAAUUCCAUGUACUGGUAAUGAUGAAUGCAACUGCAAGUGCCCUGCAAAAGAUUCGUAUGGAUUAUCAUAUUAUCUCAGAAUUAUUUGGUGUAUAAUUAGAAAUGAAAUCAUAUUUUCAAUUAUUAAAGCUGUCAUUGAUUUUCUGCGGAUCGGUCCGAGAACAUCACGCUGGUUGAUCGCGUAAGGCUGGUACAUAUGUGUAACUUUACGACUUUGAUUAUUUUGGUUUUUUGUGGGUGCUUUUCUGCGAAGGAUGUUCUCCUUGAUCGUUGGAUCUAAAAUCUAAUCGUUUCUGUUUGUCAAUUUCUCUAAGAUUCAGUUCCCCGUCCCUUCUAAUAAUAAUUAUGUAAAUACCUACCUACCCAUGAUUUUAGGAUUGUAGUUUGAAUAAUUUGACAGUCGACGUGGGAGAUUACAAAUCCACACGAGAAUUAUUCAUUAAUCAUAAAUAUAUCUUAGAAAUUUCUUUUGGGCGAUGGAAAAUAUUUACAAUUUUGCUACUCCUAAAUUUACUGUAUUGGUUCAUUAAUGAAGUGAAGGUGACCAAUAAAAAGAAGCAGAAGUUGAAGUACAAAUAUUAUUUUAUUAAGAAGAAAGUUCUGUGAUUUUAUUUUAAGCAGUGUGAUUUCUUCUUGCUCAAUAUACUUAUUUUACCUACACUUAUUUUAGACACGUGAAAUAGAUAUUAUUAAGCAUUGUCAAUUAGAGAAAGCUGUGUAACAGAUUUUUGCUCAAAAGCCAGAUUAUCAACAAAUCAUGAAGAAAUAUUGCAAUAAGAUUUAUCAAAAGAAACACAUCCUUGGUUUUUAUUUUAUAAUACCUAAGUGCAUUAAGAUAAUUAUCGCACAAUUUGUAGAAAUGAUUAAAAUUAAAAUUCAAGCAUUGGAAUUUGUACGUGUAUUCAUUAUUUUGGAUCCUUCUUAAGUAGAUUUUUCGAGUUCCGAUAAAGUUAUAAAAACCCACCCGUGGCUCCGAAAUGGCUCGAAAUCACCUCCAAAUAUUUCGAGCGCUUGGAUACAUACCGAUUAUAAAACCAAUUUCAGUGUUCUAUUUUGAUUGAUUAUAUUAUGGUAAAUUUUAAUGGGGUUGUUUCCAUGAGAAAUGUGACGGUUAAGUAUGUGCUGAAUUUCAUUUUCUAAAUUUUUGGUAAAUAAAUAGGCAAUUUAAUUUCGAUUCAUCUCCUGAGUCAUUCUAUGGCGAAUGGCCAAGCUUUUGGUUCUUGGGUUGGGCGAUUUUGAAAAUAUUUUUCAUGUCGUUAUGGACCUCGAUGGGUAGGGAUAUUGUAAAGUUCGAGUAGGGUCAAUUUGAAUGAACUACAAAUGGUAUUGUAUAAUCGAAUUUUUUGAAGCAUUUGCCACUUCGUGGAUGCAUGGAAGAGUUCUUUAGAGAUGUAUUGAAAAUCAGUGUUGCCACCUUUUCAAGUCCGAAAAAUUGACUGGAAAAAAAAAGUUUAUAAAAAUCAUCUUCUUUUCUCCAUGGUGUCCUCGCUCAAAAAUUCCGAAAAAAUUGCCUCAAGUGUAACUUUUAUGCUGAUGAAUAUUUUUUAAAAAAUUGAGGUGUUUUUUCUUCGUAAUUCUCGAUUUUAAAAAUUUCAAAGAUCACUAGAAAAUACAAUUUCUCUUCUUGAAAGGUCAAAAUUACGCAAAUUGACCAUUUUCAUCAAUUUUACUCCACAUUCAAAGGAAAAGUCGCCAAAAUCAGUUGAAUUCUUCUGAAACCCUAGAUGCUGUUGAAAUUAGGUACAUUUUUGUGAGACUUCUCAUGUUUUUUCGUCAAUUUUUGAAUCCUACGCAAAAACUGAUCUGAGGAGUACAUAAAGUGCAUUUAUACAUACCAAUUUUUUCGAAAAAGUGAAGCCAUAAAAUCAACCAAUCACAAAUCGCAUAGACCACGUGUUAUUCGGGAGGUGAGGGCUCUGAUUGGUUAGUUGUCGAGAGGUGAAAACUCUGAUGGGUCAAAUUUUUCGGGAGGAGAACAAUUUUAACGACACGAGUUUCCGAUCCUGUUUAAUAUUUAUACCUAUCUAUGGUUAUCGCAGUUGAUAAACGUGGCUACUUUGAUAAGCUUACAAUAAUAUGUACCAUGUUCUUCUAAAAUCUUAUAUGUAUAUUAUGUAAAUGUGUACCUAGUACCUACAUUAUUUUUACGCAUUAAUUUUUGUUAGUUGGAUAUUGGACUUGUUCAGUUGAUGUUUUCAAACUUUAAAUGUAGGUACCUAGUACUGGUGUUUAAAAAAUAGUUUUGUGUUGGUGUUUUUUUCGCGAAGGAUGUUCUCCCUGAUCAUUGGAUCAUGAAUUUAUUUGUAAAAAUUACUUGUAUGAUAUAUAUUGGGUUCUUAAACCCUCUAUUCUUAAAAUAUGAAAAAGAUUUGAUAUGGGCACCCGCACCUCCAUCAAAAGAAAUUCGUAUUGAAGUCAUUGACGGAAAAAAAUUUCGCGUGAUAAACCGACAAGAUGAAGAAUUUGAAACCUACAAAAACAAGUAUAUGAGCGAUGAUUUGACUGACAGCAUACAUAUUUUAUGUAAUGGUGAUGAUGAAUGCAACCGCAAGUAUCCUGAAGAAUUAUCUUAUCUCGAAAUUCUUUGGUGUAUGGUUAGGAGUAUUAUCGUAUAUGAAAUUAUUGUAGCUGUCAUUGAUUCUCUGCGUACCGGUCCGAUAAUGGGUGCCAUUUAUCGGCACGACAGAUUAAAUGAUUUGAACGACAAAAAAAAGUGUUUUGCACGACAGAUUCCAACGUCCCAAAACCACUUUUUUAACGACGAAAACAGUUUUGAACCAUUGCACGACAACAAAAAUUCAAGUGCACGCCAAUAAAAUCAAGUGAACGCCAACGCAUGCCCGACAAGUUGAAUGAAAUGCAUCGACGACUUUAGGAAAUGAACGACGACAUAAUGAUAAAAGCGACGAAUUUAUUCACAAAAUUAAAAUUUCCAAAAACGAUUGGUGUUGGUUUCGAACCGAUCUGAAGCCUCCACUGGAUUUACCAAUAAAAACUUUCUAAAGCUGAAAAUUAGGUAAACAUGAAAUUCAGCACUUAUAAAGGCACAUUAGGUGCAUAUCUUUAAAUUCUUUUUGAGCCGGUUCAAAUCCAAAAUUUUCUCCAAAGGAUGUUCUCUCCAAUCAUUAGAUUAUAUAACAUCUAGUCCUAUGUAUCUUUAAUUAUUGUUGUUUUUCUCUGUUUGUCAAUCUCUCUAAGAUUCAGAUCCUUCUAUGUAAGCCUAUUUACUUAUGUAGAUAGAGAUACCUACCUAUCUAUCUAUGAUUUUAGGAUUGUAAUUUGAAUAAUAAUUUACAGUCACCAAAAGAGGCUAUAAAUCCGCAAAAGAAUUAUUCAAUAAUCAUAAAUACACCUCAUCAUUAUCUAUAGAAUAUUUAAAGUUUUGCUACUUCUAAAUUUACUGUAUUGAUUCAUCAGUGAAGAUGACCAAUAAAAAGAAGCAGAAGCUAAAGUACUCGUAUUAUUUUAUUAAGAAGAAAGUUCUGUGAUUUCUUUCGAGCAGUGUGAUUUCUUCUUGCUUAAUAAGUAUAUAUUUUACACUUGGGCAUGUGAAAUAGAUAUUAAGCAUUGUCAUUUAGAGAAAUAUUUGUAACAGAUUUUUUCUCAAAAGCAAGAUUACCAACAAAUCAUGAAAAAAGAAAUAUUGCUAUAGGUAAGAGUUAUCAAAAGAAACACAUCCUUGGUUUUAUUUCAUAGUUAUGCGCAUUUAGAUAAUUAUCGUACAAUUUGUAAAAAUGAUUAAAAUUAAAAUUCCUGCAUUCGAAUUUGUAUUUGGAUCCUCCUAUAAGGGGAUUUUUCGAGCUCCGAUAAAGUUAUAAAAACCCACCCGUGGCUCCAAAAUGUCUUGAAAUCACCACCAUGUUGACUCAUCAUCCGUGAAAAAUCAGACCGUUAUCAAAAUUGAGUUUAAAAGUAGCAUUUGGGGAAAAAUGGAUUUGAGGAAAUGGGUUUGCGGGGAAACGUUCGGUUGGGAUAACGGAUUCGGGGAAUUAUACCAAAAUCAUUUGGUGUAGGUAUACCAUACCUACCCUUUCCAAAUCGAUUGACGGUUGUUUCAAGCCAUCCUGAAUCUGAAGCCCCCAGCAGAUUUCUGAAGGUUCCAGUUUUUAAGAAAAUACAUCAAUGUUGACCAAAAGCGUUGUGAAAAUGGGUCAUUUGAGAUGGCUGGCAAUAAAUUUAUUUCAGUCUUUUCAUUCACCUUAUAAGUUUUGCCCUGGAUUCUGAAAAAUCCUAAAAAGUAUAUGCAAAAGUAAAUCAAGGGACGAAAUUACCAUUUCUGGAUUUUAUUUUCCAAUUGUUGGUCAAUUCAUUUUUCCCUACGCGUUAAUGAAAAUAUCAGGAACAUUUUAUCUAAUAGUACAGAGAGAGAGACAGAGACACAAAUAUUUUUUAGUAGCCUAAUUUCAAUUUACAUACCUACUACAUGAAGCACACUAUUAUACCUCUGUUGAUACCUAUUUAUACAAAAAGUAUGUCUUUAUGGACGACCAAAAUCUUAGGGAAAUAAAAUGAAAUUCUUUUAGAAAAAGGCUUGAAAAAACACGUUUAUUUUUGAGAAAGUACACGACCAACUUGAUACAUUUCUGGAAAAAUUUCAUCGAAAUUCGAAAGCACCUUCAAAUACGUUGAUUAUAAAAAAAAAACACACACACACGAAAAAAACUUACAAAAUGAGUGAAUUUUGAAAAAAAAAUCGUAAAAAUUUAAUCAUUUGAAAAACGAUCACAAAAAUCUUGAAAGAUAGGAAGACCAAUUUGAAAAAACUAGUUGGAAAACCAUCGACGAACACCUAUAGGCUAUAGCCUUCAUUAAAAUAGAAACACUUUGGAAAUUAUAGAAGCGUAGUUUUCGCGCAGGCAUAACAGCGCUCCUGAGCGAAAAAAUUGAUGCCGGAUUGCCGGGUGUUGGAACUUGGAACCAACUUUUAUCGACAGUAAGUAACCGAGUUAUACCACCAGAUUGCGCUAUUAACUUGAGAACAAAACGCAUUUAGGUCACAAAAAAAAUUAUGAAAGCUCAAGGUUGUAAAACUACUGAAAAAACUGUUUUUUCGUGUUUUUUUUUUUGUAUGUUUGAGCUUUUAUAACUUUUUUUCUAUAUCGCGGAUAGGUAAUUUUCAAACCAACUCGCAUCUGGUAGAGAAUUUAACGUAGAUUAUUUUCUUUCCUUACCUCAAAUACCUAUGUCCUUUCUCAAAAUUUUGAGUAAUUUCCAUAAAAAUAAAUAAAGUCGAUGCAUCACAGACAACUGGGAAUAUCAAAAGCUGAAGCGGGGUAGUGAAAUGUGAAAUGAUUCAUCAGGACUCAUCUAAAGCUAUUUUCCUGCGAUUUAGGUCGACCAUACAGACAUAUGUACUUCACUUUUUGUAUGCUGACAGAGGUAUUGUAGUGUGCUUUAUGAGCGUAAUUAAUAAAAAUACCUAGUUUUUAUAUUUCGAUUCAUAAAGCAGAUGAUUCUAAACUCGUGCGAUACAGCGCUCCCUUGUAAUCACCUACUUUAUGAAUCUUGUUGUAAAAACUACUUAUGCUUUAUCGAGUUUCUAACUUUUUCAAAUUUUGAUAAGCUUACAAUUAGGCCAUGUUCUUCUAAUGUCUUCGUUUAUAUAAAUGUGUACAUAAUUUUACCCAUUAAUUUUUGUUAGUUGAAUAUUGGCCUUGUUCCGUUGAUGUUUUCAAACUUUAAAUGUAGUGCUGGUGUUGAAAAAAAAUAGUUUUGUGUUACUGAGUGCUUUUUCGCAAGGGAUGCUCUGCCUGAUCAUUGGAUCUAAAAUCUAAUCGUUUGUAAUUUGAAAAGUUGACUGUCGACAAGUGAGGCUACAGAUUAGCACGAGAAUUAUUCAAUAAUUGAGAUGAAUUUAUUCGUAAGAACAACAUUUUAUUUGUUUCUGUCUAUCUCCGACCCUUUCGUAAAAUAUGAAGAAUCACUAAUAUCACUAAUAUGGCCACCUACAUCAGAAGAAAUUCGUGUUGAAGUCAUCGAUGGACAAAAAUUUCGCGCAAUAGACCGACUAGAUGAAGACUUUAAAAAGUACGUGGAUGUGCCUGAUAAUUGGAAUACGAGUAGUACCGUAACCUUAUAUAUUCCAUGUAGCAACUGCAAGUGUCCUGCAAAUGAUUCGCAUGAAACACCUUAUCUCAAAAUUCUUUGGUGUGCAGUUAGGAAUAAUAUCGUAUAUGCAAUUCUUGAUGCUGCCUAUGAUUUUCUGCGGACCGGUCCGAAAAUAUCACGCUGGUUGAUCGCGUGACACUGGUGUAGUGCUGUAUGUACGAGUAGGUACGCGUAACUUUACAACUUUAGACUUCAGUUUUUUGUUGAUGUUUUUCCGCGAAAAAUGUUCUUCCUGAUCAUUGGAUCUAAAAUCUAAUCGUAUUUUACUCGUAUCUCUAAUUAUUGUAGUUUGUUUCUGUUUGUACGUCAAUUUCUCUCUAAUAUUCAGUUCCUUCUACAUAUGUAAGCCAAUUUAGUUACUCAUGUACAGGGUGCCCAGAAAUAUCGAGCACCCCUAAAAAAGUUUUCUACUAAAAUACUUCGGUUGGUCACAGUGAAUGAUAAUAAUGAUAGCACAUGAUUGGUUGUUGGACUGGAGAGAUAACAUUCCACCAAUCAUAUGCAUCUAUUUCACGUUGCCAAUCUAUUUUUUUAAUGAAAAACUUUCUUAGGGGUGCUCGAUAUUUCUGGGCACCCUGUAGAUACCUACCUACCUUUGAUUUUAGGAUUGUACAUUAUUUGAAUAGUGAAAACAGACGUAGGAGGUUACAAAUCCGCGCGAGAAUUAUUCAAUAAUCAUAAAUAUACAUAUCUUAUCAUUGUC